GUUCUCUGGAGCAGCAGUCUUUGUCCACAUGUUUUUUUUAAAAAUGUUUAAAACCCCAAGGCCCUGGACAGAGCCCUGUUCUGCAACUCGUGAGAAGGAGAUAUGGUCUUUCAGAUAGUCUGGACCCAAGCCAGCUUCCUGUUUCCCACAGCGGACCUCCAGGUGCCUCUGGGUGCAGCCAAGAGCAGCAGGACACGGAUGCAAGGGAUCCCUCCUGCUAUGGCUUCCAGCGAUGGGAGAUUCAGAGGCACUGUCCAGCUUUGGAUGGUUGAGCGGCUCCAAAAAUGAACGAAGGAUUGGAAAUUGUAAAGAACUGGAAGACAGGAGAAUGACUCAGAGAGAACUGGUGGCGUAGAAUAUGGGAUGCUUUAUUAAUGGAAAAACUAUCAGACAGAAUGAGGCCCAAGUCAUCCUCUCACAGCCCAUUUGUGUGACCCAACACCCAGCUUGGGAACAUCCUGAACACAAGCCCACACAUGGUGAAUGUGGUGGGUGCAAUUUAACUGAAGCUGAUACGACAAUCUUUGCCAUAUCCAAACGCCAUUUCUUGGCUCCUCUCUGCCACCCAUCCUCCUGUGGUCCUUUGUUUUCCAUUUCCGAGCAUCACACUUUUUGACCUGGGCCAGAGAGAACAGUUUGUUUUCAGCCAGUCCAUGGAAUAUUUGGUGUGUGUGUCUGUGUGUGAUGUUUUUAAUGGUUUCAUUAUUUUUGGUCUCUCUGUGUGAUGUUUUUAAUGGUUUUAUUCGUAAUUAUGUUCACUAAUUGCUUUGAGCACUGUUGCAGUGGUUCAUGUUUUUAAUGGAAAGCCAGGAUCAAAAUACAGUAAUAGAACGCAAAGGAUGGAAGAAGAGUCCUGCUGGAACAGACAUUGGGAAGGUUCACCUCUUGCCCAACAUCUCUGCAAAGCAGGUGCCACCAGGAAAUCCACAAGUAUAACAACAACAACAACGACAAUGGCUCCUUCCUAUGAUUUGUUACUCCUCCCAAACUGGCUUUCAGAGCAAGACAGUUUCUGAACCUUGAUAUUUUUGCACAGAGCCAUUGUGACUAUGCACAGAUAGACACCAGAGGAAGCCCUGGAGCAGUUUGUUCUACUGACAUGAGCAAAUUCAUGAAACAAUUUCCUAUGAGCCAUGUUUCCAUCUUGAAGCAUGCGCUAGCUUUUUGCACAUGUGCAGAAUGUAUUCCUUUGCCCCUGAAAAAGCACAGCCCAUUUA